UGAUUAAUAGGGAUAGUUGGGGGCAUUAAUAUUUAAUUGUCAGAGGUGAAAUUCUUGGAUUUAUGAAAGAUUAACUUCUGCGAAAGCGUUUGCCAAGGAUGUUUUCAUUAAUCAAGAACGAAAGUUAGGGGAUCGAAGACGAUCAGAUACCGUCGUAGUCUUAACCAUAAACGAUGCCGACCAGCGAUUAGGAGACGUUGAAUACAAAACACCGCUGUUAGUCCUUUCGGGGAUUAAUAGUUGGUGAAUGACCCCCUAGCCGCUUGUGAGAA
rnacentral:rRNA from 1 species